rnacentral:rRNA from 1 species
AAGGAAUAUUGGUCAAUGGAGGGAACUCUGAACCAGCCAUGCCGCGUGCAGGAUGACUGCCCUAUGGGUUGUAAACUGCUUUUGUCAGGGAAUAAACCUUUCCACGUGUGGGAAGCUGAAUGUACCUGAAGAAUAAGGAUCGGCUAACUCCGUGCCAGCAGCCGCGGUAAUACGGAGGAUCCAAGCGUUAUCCGGAUUUAUUGGGUUUAAAGGGUGCGUAGGCGGUCCUAUAAGUCAGUGGUGAAAGACGGCAGCUUAACUGUCGCAGUGCCUUUGAUACUGUAGGACUUGAAUCUAUUUGAAGUGGGCGGAAUAAGACAAGUAGCGGUGAAAUGCAUAGAUAUGUCUUAGAACUCCGAUUGCGAAGGCAGCUCACUAAGUUAGUAUUGACGCUGAUGCACGAAAGCGUGGGGAUCAAAC